UCCUCCCUCUGGCGGCGUGCUUAACACAUGCAAGUCGAACGGAAAGGCCCUGCUUGCAGGGUACUCGAGUGGCGAACGGGUGAGUAACACGUGGGUGAUCUGCCCUUCACUUCGGGAUAAGCCUGGGAAACUGGGUCUAAUACCGGAUAGGAGCCAUUUUUAGUGUGAUGGUUGGAAAGUUUUUUCGGUGUAGGAUGAGCUCGCUGCCUAUCAGCUUGUUGGUGGGCUAAUGGCAUACCAAGGCGGCGACGGGUCGCCGGCCUGAGAGGGUGGACGGCCACAUUGGGACUGAGAUACGGCCCAGACUCCUACGGGAGGAAGCAGUGGGGAAUAUUGCACAAUGGGCGCACGCCUGAUGCAGCGACGCCGCGUGGGGGAUGACGGCCUUCGGGUUGUAAACUCCUUUCGCUAGGGACGAAGCUUUUUGUGACGGUAACUAGAUAAGAAGCACCGGAUAACUACGUG
rnacentral:rRNA from 1 species